rnacentral:rRNA from 1 species
CCCCUUCGGGGGUACUCGAGUGGCGAACGGGUGAGUAACACGUGGGUAAUCUGCCCUGCACUUCGGGAUAAGCCUGGGAAACUGGGUCUAAUACCGGAUAUGACCACGAGGCGCAUGCCUUGUGGUGGAAAGCUUUUGCGGUGUGGGAUGGGCCCGCGGCCUAUCAGCUUGUUGGUGGGGUGACGGCCUACCAAGGCGACGACGGGUAGCCGGCCUGAGAGGGUGUCCGGCCACACUGGGACUGAGAUACGGCCCAGACUCCUACGGGAGGCAGCAGUGGGGAAUAUUGCACAAUGGGCGCAAGCCUGAUGCAGCGACGCCGCGUGGGGGAUGACGGCCUUCGGGUUGUAAACCUCUUUCAGCAGGGACGAAGCGCAAGUGACGGUACCUGCAGAAGAAGCACCGGCCAACUACGUGCCAGCAGCCGCGGUAAUACGUAGGGUGCGAGCGUUGUCCGGAAUUACUGGGCGUAAAGAGCUCGUAGGUGGUUUGUCGCGUUGUUCGUGAAAACCGGGGGCUUAACCCUCGGCGUGCGGGCGAUACGGGCAGACUGGAGUACUGCAGGGGAGACUGGAAUUCCUGGUGUAGCGGUGGAAUGCGCAGAUAUCAGGAGGAACACCGGUGGCGAAGGCGGGUCUCUGGGCAGUAACUGACGCUGAGGAGCGAAAGCGUGGGGAGCGAACAGGAUUAGAUACCCUGGUAGUCCACGCCGUAAACGGUGGGUACUAGGUGUGGGUUUCCUUCCUUGGAAUCCGUGCCGUAGCUAACGCAUUAAGUACCCCGCCUGGGGAGUACGGCCGCAAGGCUAAAACUCAAAGGAAUUGACGGGGGCCCGCACAAGCGGCGGAGCAUGUGGAUUAAUUCGAUGCAACGCGAAGAACCUUACCUGGGUUUGACAUGCACAGGACGCCGGCAGAGAUGUCGGUUCCCUUGUGGCCUGUGUGCAGGUGGUGCAUGGCUGUCGUCAGCUCGUGUCGUGAGAUGUUGGGUUAAGUCCCGCAACGAGCGCAACCCUUGUCUCAUGUUGCCAGCGGGUAAUGCCGGGGACUCGUGAGAGACUGCCGGGGUCAACUCGGAGGAAGGUGGGGAUGACGUCAAGUCAUCAUGCCCCUUAUGUCCAGGGCUUCACACAUGCUACAAUGGCCGGUACAAAGGGCUGCGAUGCCGCAAGGUUAAGCGAAUCCUUUUAAAGCCGGUCUCAGUUCGGAUCGGGGUCUGCAACUCGACCCCGUGAAGUCGGAGUCGCUAGUAAUCGCAGAUCAGCAACGCUGCGGUGAAUACGUUCCCGGGCCUUGUACACACCGCCCGUCACGUCAUGAAAGUCGGUAACACCCGAAGCCAGUGGCCUAACCUUUUGGAGGGAGCUGUCGAAGGUGGGAUCGGCGAUUGGGACGAAGUCGUAACAAGGUAGCCG